rnacentral:lncRNA from 1 species
CUGAGGGCCGGCGGAGGGCGCGGGCGGGACAGGCCCAGGAGACGGGACCGCGGCGGGCCGGGGCUCCGCGCCGAGGGCGCACGGGCUACGGGGAAGGGGCGACCGGCGCGACGUCCGCGGCGGGGCCCGGGAGCCCCGCGCCGCGGGCCGGGGGCCGGGGCCCGAGCUCGAUUCUGCGGCCGCGAGGUAUGGGAACCGGUCCGCCGGGCCAGGCAGCGGUGCUAGGCAGCAGGGGCAGCGACGCCGCCGCCUUUCCCUUCUCCUGCCCCCGUCCCUGCUCCGCCGCGUCCUCGUCCUCGCUGGGUCCCCGCCGCCGCCGCCUCAGCCUCGGCGCUCCUCGGGUUUCUUCUCUCCAUCAAGGCCGGGCCGACCCGCAGGGACCAUCCCGGAAAGUGAGGGGUUGUUGCCGUUUCCCGCAGCUGUUGGUGGCCAUCUUUAAUCCUCCUCCUCCUCCUGCUUUCUCCACCUCCCGCUGGCUGUCUGACUGACUGACUGGAUCCUCCUCUUUCCCCUCCUGCUCCUCCUACUGAGCCGGCCGCAGAAAUUGCAGCCGCUCAGCUUCUACCCCCUCCUGCCUUUCCUUCCUCUUUCCUUACUUCCUUCCCUUCCCUCGGCUUCCCGCUCUUGCCUCACUCUCAGCGGCUGCCUUCGCCCCUGUCUGCAGACAGCGCCGCUGGAUGCUCCCAGCUGGACUUCAACCCCACUCCUCUCAGUCCCUCUCCCCACUGCCUUCCAGACGCGCCUCUUCCCCGCCCCGCGCCCCUCUCUCCUCUCCCACCCCUGCCCCUCUCCGCGGCGCUCACCCUCCUCAGUCCCAGUUUCUGAAAGGACUCAGCUGAGAAAGGACAACUGGGUUCCGCUUUCCUUAACCCUACACCCUUUAGCUGGAUGCUGUCAGAGGCGAUGGAGAAACGCAAAGGCUACUAGACGCAACAAUAGAAUUACCAUAUUGUUUUUCCUGGUUUGAAAGGACCAGAUGGAAAGAAACUGGGCAAGCCAAUGAAAGUCUCUGGGGAUCAUGGGAAUUGAGUGUCUAUGAAAACCAUAUUCCAGACAAGAAUAUAGUCUAAGGUUUAUGGGACUCCCCAGUACUCUCCAUGUAGAGUCUAAUGUAGAAUCCAGGAGUGCACAGAAAAGUCACUGGAUGACACAGCAAGAGGCAACAUUUUGGAAGCAGAGGGCAACUCUCACUGGAAACCAAAUCUCCUGGCACCUUGAUCUUGGAUUUUACAGCCUCCAGAACUGAUAGCUGGGAGGCAUUACAUAGUCAUGUGCGAGGUCAAAACUGAGUCACCACCACAACCAAGUUCCAGCUGGCAAGAAGAGGAAAAAUAACACAGAGGAGUUAUGACCAGUGUUGUAAGGAUCUGGCCUAGAAAUGGCAUGCAUCUCUUCCACUAAUAUCCUAUUGGUAAAAAUGUAGUCACAUGGGCACACCACCUAUCUGCAUGGAAGGCUGGGAAAUGUUGAUCGGUAGGGCAGCCAUAUGUGUAGGAAGGAGAAAACAGAAUUUGGUGGAUACCUAGUAGUCUCUGCCAUACCCUUGACCAGAAAUUUUUCUUCUAAAGAAUUUAAUUCUAAAAGUUAUAGACAUUCCCAAAGAUAUACCUGCAAGCAUCACAGCUUUGUGUAUAAUUGCAAAAGUUGAAAUCAACAUGAAUGCCCAAAAUAGUGAAUUAUUUAAACAGAUUAUUACCCAUAUUAUGAAGAAAUACUCUGCAACUCUUAAAAAUAAAUGUAAUGUGCCAGGCGCAAUGGGAUAUGCCUGCAGGCCCAGCUACACGGGAGGCCAAGGCAGGAGGAUCACUUGAAAUCAAGAGUUCAAGUCUAGCCUAGACAACAUAGUGAGACUUGGUCUCUAAAAAAGAAAAAAAAAAAUAAAACUGAUGUAAUGAAUAUAUAAUUACAACAAAAGAGGUCUAACACUAUAGUAGAAAAGUUUGGGGCACUCAUCCCAUUCAUAAUUAUUUUACAUUUAAAUUACUGUUCCUACUUAAGUGGUGAGCUUGGUAACCAUUUUCAUAUCAGGUGAUACUGCUGCAGUAAUCAUAGCUGUUUGAAUCAGGAAUAAUCCCAAUCACAUUUUCUCUUAAUCGUUUAUUAUACUGGGCAUUGGGGUUGCAAGAUAAUGCACAGUCCGAGCUCAAUACAUGUCUUCAUGUACCUGUAUGUAAAUCCCACUUUUAUUCUAAAAUUCUUUGAAUAUUUUGUUUCUUGGAACCCAAUGAUCCUAAGAAAAUUAUGUACUUUUACCUGAAAAUUAAAACCAAUAUUUAUAAAAAGUGUAUAUGCAGUAUGAUACCACUUUUAAAAAAAGAUAAAUUUAUAGAAAAAAGUUUAUAUGACUGACAACAAUGUCUCUGAGUGGUAGGAUUACAGUUAAUUUUUAUUUUCUUCAUUCUACUUAUCUUUAUUUUCUGAACUUUCUACAAUGAACAUGUUUUAUUUUUACUUUUGUUAAAAUAAAUAACAUUUAAUUUGACGGAAAAUUCUAAAAAUCAACAUUUGGUAACUUAAAUAUUCAUUGGCACAUGAUUCUGUGCCUGUUUCUGGGGGUCAUUCCCAUGAGAAGAGCAGGUAGAACUUAUGAGAAUAGAGCAGUCGAAAUAUUAUAGGUUUCAUAUUUUACGGCUUUAUUGAAAACAUUGAUAUAUUGAAUAUUCAUAAAUUUUAAUUUAACUUUCUUUUAUAAUCCUUAAUGUGAGGCUAAGGUAUAAGGAGAAAGGAGAUUGGUAAGGAAGUGUGAUACAUAUUGAAUCAGGUGUCAAGGUACCAUUUGUGCCUGGAUCUGACCAAUAGACCAAGGUAAAAAUCUCAAAGAAUGAGACUUGUAAUGAGAAUGCCACAAACUUGAAUACCUUAUGCACAAAACACAAACAUUGUUAUGCAUAAUGUACAUGAACCCUGAAACAAAGAUAAUGAUUUGGACCACCCAACUGAAGUGGCAUGUUAUGUUUUUGGCAUGAACAAAAGAAACAAGAGAGAAAAAAAUCAAAAUAAUUAAAAUAAAUUGUUAGAGAAAAGUUACUUUAAAAAUAGCUAUAACGCUUUGCAAUUUCAGUAACAGUUCUGCCUCUGAUGCAAUGUAAAACAUGUAUUAGACAUUCAGGCUCCACAAUAAAUUUUAAUGAGCACUACAAAUUUAGAAUAUAUAAAAAUAUCAGUAACCUAUGAAUUCAUCAACAUAACUCACUUUUCAGUUAAGUUAGGCUGAGUUGAAAUUCUACUAAGUUUUCCCAUAUUCUUGAUAAAGGCUAAAUUUGAAAUAAUUUAUUUAGAUGACUAAUUGGCAAUUUGAUAGUAGUUACAUUUUAUGUAACACUUGAUAUAAUAACCCAAAUUAAUUAGCUCAAUAUUAUCUUCUGUGGUUUAUUGAUCCAAAAGUACAUAUUUGUUAUGUAAACUUAUACUAUGUAAACUUGAAUUAGUUUUUUGCUUCCUUGAAUUAAUAAAGCCCAUUAAUGCAAAUCUAAGCCUUCAUAGACUUUUCCAAUCCUUAGUUAAAUAUUAAAAACUGAGUAUUGUAGUUAUUUGCUAGGUAUAAAAGGUGACUCAGAGUAGAGAGUAAGAUGUCAGCAAAUAGACAAUAAGAUGUCAGCAAAAGUGCCUCAAAUUUUAACUGCGUCAAGUUAAGGGCAUUGUAAAUACUGUAGUUUUAUGUAGCUUGCAACUUCUACUGAAAUGAGUUUAAUCAUGUCUUUCACAUAGCUGAAGUUUGUGUCAAGAUUUAAGCUGAUUUUCUCAUUCUUAUCAAAGUCUCACCUGGGGGUAGGGAGGGGUAGGCCUACCUCCCACCUCUAUACUAUCAUUUUAGGAACAGACAGGCAUAAAUCUGUUCAUAUGGUAGAACACAUGAUGUUAGAGUAUAUUUUGUUGAAUGCUAUGGAAUAUUAAUAUAAUUAAUUCUAAAAUAUCACCUAAAAUAUGUCAACUGAAGAUCUGACUGUACUAAAUAUGAAAAAUAAAGCAGCACAUACUUUCUCUACUGUUUUCCUGGCCAUUCAUUGUCACAAGGCUUAGCCAGUCCCUGACACCCAAUACGCUACCAAUAAGCCACCAUCAUCUUUUCCUGGGGUUUUGCAUUCACUGGUUGUGUUACCUAGUAUUGCCUAUGAUAAUCGUUAGUCAUCAUUAAGGAACUAAGUAUUAUGUACUCCUUGCCUUGGAAUACUCUAUUUGGAGUUGUGCAAGUGAGAAGCCCCAAAUUUAUAAGUCAAUAUCCUCAUUCAGAGCUGCCACCCUUGUGACUUUAAAUUGGAGCUCCUGUUUUACACCACUGUGUAUCUCUAUUUCUGGCCAUCACUUUUUUAAUACACAUGACUUUCCUCUCCCAGUUUCCAGACAGGGCUCUUUGAAUGUAUGUCAAACUCAGUUACUCCAGAGAAAAAACUGCCUUUCCCUUCAAAGUGCUCCCUCGAGGUUCCUUAGUGAGUUUUGUACCUUCUAUUUUAAAAGAGGCUUUCCCAAACUGUGCCAUUUAUCAAUUUAUUGCCCAUCAGUCUCCACCUACCAUUCUCUGCUCUGCUUUGUGAACUGAAGAGGGACCCUGUAAACAUUUAUUUAUUGCCAGCUGGUACAACAUUAGACUCUGUCAAGAAAGGGUGCUGGAGGGCCACUUCAAGUCCACUGCAAGAGAAAGGGGCUGCUCCUGAUGGCCAGGUUUGCUGUUUCCUUCAGCAAGGCUGCUGGCGGAUGUGCAUGUCAGAGCUCUCAUAGCUCUCACCUCAGUGACACUUGACAACCAGCAUAGGGCCCACCAAACCCUCCAAGAAGUUUGGUCACCAGGUGAGCCACUUCCUGUGAACCCCUCCAGCAUAUACCUUCUGAUAAGUUUCUAUGCUGUUGGCAGUCUGGUGUUCCUAUAGCAAGCACACUCUCCCCAACAAGGCAUGAAUCUACAUUGGUUGAAGGUGGGACAGUUGGUUUCUUCUACAUUCUUGGUUCCAUCAUUGUUCAUUCUUCCUCAGUCCCAGAAGUAGCUGCUUUUUGCAUUUGUUAUCUCUGUAUUGAUUAGAGUUCCUUUUUAUUAUGAUUAAUGUAAUACUCCUUUAUAUUAAAUUUUUCCUUUUCAAAUAACUGGUGUGGAUCAAAGGCAUCCUGAAUCUGGUAUGAUCUAUCUCACUGUUUUCAGAUACUGUAGUAAGAGGCAUAAACUUUAUGUAAUUUUAGUAGAUUUGCAGUUGCAAAAUAUUUGAGAUACAUUUAUGGCAGGAAAGGUUGAAGUUAGAAAAUUAUGCAAUUGAGUAACAUUCUUAUGUAAAUUGUGAAAAGACUACCAUUAUCCCGCUUUAGCAGCAUAAUAUCUUUGUUGAGCUCUCAUGACUAUCCUGUCCUGUAAGAGUAAGCUUAGAGAAUCACUGAAACCAAUGAACAAAAUGUUGCUUAAUGGAACGAUUAUUGAGUUUAUAAAAAUAUAUUUGGUUAGAGAAUAAUGUUUUGUCUUCAGACUUUCAGUUAUGGGUGACCCAACUUCUCUAAAAUCAUUUUUCCAUACUAUUUCUGUUUGUCAAUUUGAUUUUCUUUGUUUCUACCAUUCAUAUUUAAAAUACAGCAUUAUCUCUAAUUUAUUCCAGCAUUAUUAAAUAUCUACUAUUUGCAUGGCACUGGCUGGGGAAUGGAAGAGAAUACAUCUUUUCUGCUCUCAAGGAGCAAAAAAAUGUAGCUAUAGAAAAAUUGCUCAAUGUAAAUAACUAAUACUUUUAAUAAUGUGACUAAUGUUCAGAAAUAAUGUAUCAUCAAAAUUUCUUACAGUUCAUUAGUUUGUAAAUUUAAUGUAAAUGUUGAGAAUAUUAUUCUUGUCAUAAUGUAAAGCCACGUUCUUUUACUUUAAUCUCUGGGGAAAAAAAUCACAAAUUAUUAUUAUUUUAAGACAAGGUGUGCGACAGUUGAAUAAAAAGUUGAGUGCAUUAAUUUCUUUAAUUAAAUCUAAGCUAUAAUUCAAAUGAACUUUGGAAAACACUAACUUUAGUCUGAUUAGUUAUUAGUAGUUAACUGAGUAUCUACAAAAACCAUACUUUCAUUCCCAAAACUGACAGUCAUUCUCCUUUGUCCCAUGAUAGAAAUAUGAAGAUUAUUCCACAAUACCCUCCGUAGACAGAAAACUUUAUAAACCCACUAAUGCCAAAGGGCAAGGUGAUAAUCCCCUAACGGAAAAACAGGAAGCCAUGCUGUUCUUUUCUUGAAUGCCACCUUUGCCGUCACCAUAGUGCUGUGAUCUAGGGUAAGGCAGUUUGUUGUUGUUGUUGUUGUUGUUUUAAAUAACAGAACAUUCAGAUAAAUAUCCUAAAGCAGUAUAAAAUUGGAAGACUAGUGUCUCUACUUUAAUUAAUUGCACAUGCUUCUAUGUUCUACAUAAAUCAAAGCCUUCCUUUAAGACCCGUUCUUACCUUCAUUCACGAUUUGCUCUCCUCUCACAGUCUUCUGGCCUCGGUCCCCUUGUCCAGUAUUCUCCUUUCUUGUGUCCUGACCUGGGGAGUCUCCAGCUCCCUCCAAGUGACAGAGAAUCCCGAGUGCUG